AAGUCUGCCACCACUACAACGCUGUGAUAACACAAGCUAUAGUCAACAGGAAUCUCACAAUGAAAAAUAUGAUGCCGAUUCAAAGGAAAUUGAAGCUCCAACAAAAGAAGAACAAAAAGGAAACAAUAAAAGAGGAAAAACCUUGCAAGCUGACGAACCUGAGGACAAAGACACCGGUUCGAACCUCAAAAAACUUAAACAGUGAUCAGCGACCAACAUGACCAAUGGACUCUUAGAUACUUUUGUGGACUCAGCAUCUUUUGCGACCAGAUAGGACAAAGUUUAUAUAUAUUAUGCACAAAGUGCCUUUUGAAUGUUAGGACCAUCAAAAUUGUAACAUGCAAAAGAUAACUAUGCUACACUCUAUUUUGCCUGUCCAGACAAAACAAUGCAGAUAUCUUUCAAACAUCUUA